rnacentral:rRNA from 1 species
CCAGCACGGGGAGGUAGUGACGAAAAAUAACAAUACAAGACUCACAUCCGAGGCCUUGUAAUUGGAAUGAGUACACUUUAAAUCCUUUAACAAGGAUCAAUUGGAGGGCAAGUCUGGUGCCAGCAGCCGCGGUAAUUCCAGCUCCAAUAGCGUAUAUUAAAGUUGUUGCGGUUAAAACGUUCGUAGUUGAACUUGUGUUUCGCACGGGCAGUACCUAGGACUAGGCAACUAGGACGGUACCUUGUCUUACUUUUCAAUUUAUUGAAAAAAGUGCGUGAACGUAUUAUCGGCGUGUUCGUUCUUGUAACGUUCACAUAAGCUCAUUUCAGUGCUCUUUAUCGAGUGUUGUUGUGGGCCGAUACAAAUUACUUUGAACAAAUUAGAGUGCUUAAAGCAGGCUUGUAAUGCCUGAAUAUUUUGUGCAUGGAAUAAUGAAAUAGGACAUCUGUUCUACUUUCAUUGGUUUUUUAGACCAAGAUGUAAUGAUUAAUGGAAGCAGUUGGGGGCAUUAGUAUUACAACGCGAGAGGUGAAAUUCUUAGACCGUUGUAAGACUGACUAAAGCGAAAGCAUUUGCCAAAGAUGUUUUCAUUUAAUCAAGAACGAAAGUUAGAGGUUCGAAGGCGAUCAGAUACCGCCCUAGUUCUAACCAUAAACGAUGCCAGCUAGCAAUUGAGUGUAGCUACUACUAUGGCUCUUUCAGUCGCUUCUCGGGAAACCAAAGCUUUUGGGCUCCGGGGGAAGUAUGGUUGCAAAGCUGAAACUUAAAGGAAUUGACGGAAGGGCACCACCAGGAGUGGAGCCUGCGGCUUAAUUUGACUCAACACGGGAAAACUUACCAGGUCCGAACAUAAAUGAGUAAGACAGAUUGAUAGCUCUUUCUCGAAUCUAUGGGUGGUGGUGCA